GCAUGGGUUUGGAUUUAUGACAGGCCCGUCACCCUGGGCCUGUCAUAGUACCCCAUGCCAGAGCAAACUGUGUCCCCGAACCAUUGCCUGGCCUCUGUGCCCGUAGGCUGCUGGCACUGAAGUGGGUUGCACAGUG
rnacentral:snoRNA from 10 species